rnacentral:rRNA from 1 species
GAUGAACGCUGGCGGCGUGCCUAAUACAUGCAAGUCGAGCGAAUGGAUUGAGAGCUUGCUCUUAUGAAGUUAGCGGCGGACGGGUGAGUAACACGUGGGUAACCUGCCCAUAAGACUGGGAUAACUCCGGGAAACCGGGGCUAAUACCGGAUAACAUUUUGAACCGCAUGGUUCGAAAUUGAAAGGCGGCUUCGGCUGUCACUUAUGGAUGGACCCGCGUCGCAUUAGCUAGUUGGUGAGGUAACAGCUCACCAAGGCAACGAUGCGUAGCCGACCUGAGAGGGUGAUCGGCCACACUGGGACUGAGACACGGCCCAGACUCCUACGGGAGGCAGCAGUAGGGAAUCUUCCGCAAUGGACGAAAGUCUGACGGAGCAACGCCGCAUGAGUGAUGAAGGCUUUCGGGUCGUAAAACUCUGUUGUUAGGGAAGAACAAGUGCUAGUUGAAUAAGCUGGCACCUUGACGGUACCUAACCAGGAAGCCACGGCUAACUACGUGCCAGCAGCCGCCGUAA